rnacentral:rRNA from 1 species
CUACCAGACUCCUACGGGAGGCAGCAGUCGGGAAUAUUGCGCAAUGGAGGAAACUCUGACGCAGUGACGCCGCGUGCAGGAAGAAGGUUUUCGGAUUGUAAACUGCUUUAGACAGGGAAGAAAAAAGACAGUACCUGUAGAAUAAGCUCCGGCUAACUCCGUGCCAGCAGCCGCGGUAAUACGGAGGAUGCGAGCGUUAUCCGGAUUUAUUGGGUUUAAAGGGUGCGUAGGCGGAAUGCCAAGUCAGCGGUAAAAUCGCGGGGCUCACCCCCGCUCCGCCGUUGAAACUGGCGUUCUUGAGUGGGCGAGAAGUAUGCGGAAUGCGUGGUGUAGCGGUGAAAUGCAUAGAUAUCACGCAGAACUCCGAUUGCGAAGGCAGCGCACCGGCGCCCUACUGACGCUCAGGCACGAAAGCGUGGGUAUCGAACAGGAUUAGAUACCCGCGUAUA